rnacentral:lncRNA from 1 species
UUCGCAUGCUAACCAAUCUAAUGGCCCAAAUUCACUCCUUCGCGCAUGAACGACCCAAAUUCGUUUCCCCUUCAAGCGUGAUCAAGCAGUCCUGAUGCAUUCGAUCGUGCGGUCUUGAUUCAUUUUCCAAAUAAGAUGGAUCUAACGACAGAGAUUAGGCCACGUAUCCUCGAAUGGACGACCCUAAUUAAUGGAGAAAGAGUAUUUAAACUCAUCCUCCAUCGAAAUCUUAACCUUAGCCGCAACCAGCUUGCUGGAGAAGAAGAAAAAGUGCGGUCAGAAGAGAAGCCGACCGCCGUCACUACCGCACCGGAACCCUCCCCGAUGCCGGAAUGUGAGGUUUUUCUUCCCUUUCGAUUUGCAUUUCGAUUUUAAGUCACUCCAAACACAUAUUGGCGCUGAAAAACUAAAAAAAAAAAGCCAGAAACAUAUGGUGGAGCUCGGUCGAGUCGUCGCACCCGCGACCCAAAACCCCACCGGUGAGCCUGAAUCCCCUUCCCCUUCCCUUCCAUUUUUUAACCAUUGAAUUCC